GUGGGGAAUAUUGCACAAUGGAGGAAACUCUGAUGCAGCGACGCCGCGUGAGUGAAGAAGUAUUUCGGUAUGUAAAGCUCUAUCAGCAGGAAAGAAAAUGACGGUACCUGACUAAGAAGCCCCGGCUAACUACGUGCCAGCAGCCGCGGUAAUACGUAGGGGGCAAGCGUUAUCCGGAUUUACUGGGUGUAAAGGGAGCGUAGACGGUUUGGCAAGUCUGAAGUGAAAGCUCGGGGCUCAACCCCGGAACUGCUUUGGAAACUGUCGAACUGGAGUGCAGGAGAGGUAAGCGGAAUUCCUAGUGUAGCGGUGAAAUGCGUAGAUAUUAGGAGGAACACCAGAGGCGAAGGCGGCUUACUGGACUGUAACUGACGUUGAGGCUCGAAGGCGUGGGGAGCAAACAGG
rnacentral:rRNA from 1 species